rnacentral:tRNA from 1 species
AGAAUAUUUUGUAAUAAAAGAAGCUUCUAACUUCUAAUAAAGCGGUUAAACUCCGUUUAUAUUCUA